UACAGAGGAGCCAAGCGUUGUCCGGAUUGACUGGGCGUAAAGCGCACGCAGGCGGACGCGCGCGUGGGGUGUGAAAUCUGGCCGCUUAACGGCCAGGCGCCAUCCCAUACGGCGGGUCUGGAGCCUUGCAGAGGUCGGUGGAAUUGCCGGUGUAGUGGUGAAAUGCGUAGAUAUCAGGAGGAACACCUGUGGUGUAGACAGCUUACUGGACCACUUCUGACGCUGAGACACGAAAGCGUGGGUAGCAAACAGG
rnacentral:rRNA from 1 species